GCUUGUCUCAAAGAUUAAGCCAUGCAUGUCUAAGUACAAGCCUCAGUAAGGUGAAACCGCGAAUGGCUCAUUAAAUCACACCUAAUCUACUGGAAAGUUACUAGUUACUUGGAUAACUGAGGUAAUUCUUGAGCUAAUACAUGCGAAAAAUCUCGACUCACGGAGAGAUGCUUUUAUUAGAUACAAAACCAACCCGGGCAACCGGUCCUUUGGUGAUUCAUGAUAACUUUGCGAAUCGCAUAGCUUUAAUGCUGGCGAUGGGUCAUUCAAAUUUCUGCCCUAUCAACUUUCGACGGUAGGAUAGAGGCCUACUGUGGUGA
rnacentral:rRNA from 1 species